GGAAGUGGUGGUGGUGGGGUCCUGAGACUAGGCCAGUUGAGAACCACUGGUCUUGACUAAAGGAUCACUGUAAAUAAGACGUGCUUACACACUCCUGUCUAUUCUGCUGAGAUGUACAAUCCUGGGCAUGCAUGCACACACCACAGACAUAGGUGAGAUCGACAACAAAUGCAGAAUUCACAUAGAACAAAAUGGAAAUGUGAACAUCCAUACUGCCCAGAUCAUCUGCUGAAGAAGAUCAUGUGACAGAAUUCAAAGCUCAAGAGCAGCGACCAAACGAUGGAGCUUCAAGCUAAGAGUUAAUAUUCUUUCACUUUUGUUUUGAGUGUAUUAUUUAAAAAGUUCUGCGCUUCAUUUUUCAAAACAAAGACAUUGGGCUCAUAUGUUCGUAUACCCCAAAAAGUGUAGGUGUUCUGUUCUGUAAUUUCUCUUCUCUUCCAGUGGAUUGAAAUGCAAAAAAUCAUCUUCAACCUUUUCAGGACAGUUUUUUUGCCUUAUUAA